CCCACCAAGGCAUCGAUGGAUAGGGGUUCUGAGAGGAAGGUCCCCCACAUUGGAACUGAGACACGGUCCAAACUCCUACGGGAGGCAGCAGUGAGGAAUAUUGGUCAAUGGGCGCUAGCCUGAACCAGCCAAGUAGCGUGAAGGAUGACUGCCCUAUGGGUUGUAAACUUCUUUUAUAUGGGAAUAAAGUGCAGUAUGUAUACUGCUUUGCAUGUACCUUAUGAAUAAGGAUCGGCUAACUCCGUGCCAGCAGCCGCGGUAAUACGGAGGAUCCGAGCGUUAUCCGGAUUUAUUGGGUUUAAAGGGAGCGUAGGCGGGUUGUUAAGUCAGUUGUGAAAGUUUGCGGCUCAACCGUAAAAUUGCAGUUGAUACUGGCAUCCUUGAGUACAGUAGAGGUAGGCGGAAUUCGUGGUGUAGCGGUGAAAUGCUUAGAUAUCACGAAGAACUCCGAUUGCGAAGGCAGCCUGCUGGACUGUAACUGACGCUGAUGCUCGAAAGUGUGGGUAUCAAACAGGAUUAGAUACCCUGGUAGUCCACACAGUAAACGAUGAAUACUCGCUGUUUGCGAUAUACAGUAAGCGGC
rnacentral:rRNA from 1 species